CAGUAAACGCCUUCAAGCCACACAAAUCAGUUUAGUGCUUUGACAGGUAUACACCUGCUGGGCACCAACAUGCACCCUGGGUCUUUCAUCGAGGAGCUUGCAGGCUGGCUGGAAGGGACAAGAGUGUUCCUUGAGAGAGAACAGUUCAACACUGUGAUCAUGUGCCAAGGCCAGAAGUGAAGUAGCUCAGUUACUAAGACAAGAAAAACUCAGAGACCAAGCAGCCAGAGCUAUGGGGCACAGGAAACGGAGCCCAGGGAAGUUCCCAGCAUUGAGGCAUGAAUAUGGUGGUCUGCAAAAGGGCAGCUUUCCCGUGUAUGCAAUCUCAGCCACCAUUGGAAUCACUGAACCUGGAAUCACUGUAUCUGGAAAGGGCCGUGGGGGCCCUCUGUCCUACUCCCCACUAGAGCAGGGAAGGAUGAAGCCUGUGUAGACAAGGACUGCUGCCUGACAUGAGGAUGGAAGCCGAGUGCUUCUGUGUUUUUUCCCUAGCUGUUUACACAAAACAAGACUUUGGAAUAUGUGGAGUUUGCAAACAGUAACGUGAAGCGUGGAGGAGGGAGUUGGAACUUGUGCUCUACGGAAUGUGUUGUCAGUUCCAAAGAAAGCCUCUGAGGGUAAACCCUGGGCUCAGAGCAAUGCCGGGCUCACACAAGAUCUGUCGCUUGCUCCUGCUUGCCUGCCUGCCAGAGGGGCCCUCGCUCCUAUCACUACAACCAAAAUGUGCAAUGCAGUAGGAGUGUCUCAGCACUGUCUGCCAGUUUUCUCUUCUUCACCAUUUUCACAUUAAUUCCAGGGGAAGAGCAUCGAAAAAUUUCUGUUAUUUGGGUUGGUGAGAGGCAUAAAAUAACACAGAGCCAGUUUUCUCAGGGCAGAAACAAACUGGAAAGUUCUGGGUUUAGCUCUGUGAAUGACCAUCAUCUCACUGGCAAGGCAUUAAUUUCGGCAAUAACUCAUGGCUUUUCUACACAGCUAAGAGGGCCAUACACCAAUAUAUGGCACCUCAUAAUCUGUUUCCAUCCAGAGCCGGCAAUGUUAACUCAUUUUCCAGCUCCCCAUAUUCCAGCACUGAAUCUGAGCAUUAGUAUCUAGGAAGCAUUUUGCCCCUUCUGCCGUAAAUACAGCUAUUGCUGCUACUUGAAAGACAAUAACAUUGCUUGAGAUUGAUUUACUUCUCUUUCUCAACCAUAUUGUUUAUGUAUUUUAUGGCAAUAUACCAAAUGAACUUUGGGGAAGAAUGAAGAUACAAAUAUACAUAAAUAUAGCCAUUUCCCAACACAUCUAUUAAAUGUGUCAAUACUCUAUUGUUUUAAGAAUAUUGGCCGGCAGUGGCUCAUGCCUGUAAUCCCAGCACUUUGGGAGGCCGAGACAGGCG
rnacentral:lncRNA from 1 species